CGAUCUGGCGGAGCUUGGUGGCGUCGCGGUGUUCGAGCAGGUAGCCGAGGAACGGGUGCGGGUUCGACUCCUGCAGGUCGGCCA
rnacentral:tRNA from 1 species